rnacentral:rRNA from 1 species
AUACAGAGGGUGCGAGCGUUAAUCGGAAUUACUGGGCGUAAAGCGCGCGUAGGCGGCUACUUAAGUCAGAUGUGAAAUCCCCGGGCUCAACCUGGGAACUGCAUCUGAUACUGGGUAGCUAGAGUUUUGGAGAGGGAAGUAGAAUUUCAGGUGUAGCGGUGAAAUGCAUAGAGAUCUGAAGGAAUACCAGUGACGAAGGCGACUUCCUGGCCAAAAACUGACGCUGAGGUGCGAAAGCGUGGGUAGCAAACGGGAUUAGAAACCCUUGUAGUCC